GAUGAACGCUGGCGGCGUGCUUAACACAUGCAAGUCGAACGGUGAAAGCGGAGCUUGCUCUGCUGGAUCAGUGGCGAACGGGUGAGUAACACGUGAGCAAUCUGCCCCUGACUCUGGGAUAAGCGCUGGAAACGGCGUCUAAUACCGGAUACGAGCUGCGAAGGCAUCUUCAGCAGCUGGAAAGAACUUCGGUCAGGGAUGAGCUCGCGGCCUAUCAGCUAGUUGGUGAGGUAACGGCUCACCAAGGCGUCGACGGGUAGCCGGCCUGAGAGGGGGACCGGCCACACUGGGACUGAGACACGGCCCAGACUCCUACGGGAGGCAGCAGUGGGGAAUAUUGCACAAUGGGCGAAAGCCUGAUGCAGCAACGCCGCGUGAGGGACGACGGCCUUCGGGUUGUAAACCUCUUUCAGCACAGACGAAGCGCAAGUGACGGUAUGUGCAGAAGAAGGACCGGCCAACUACGUGCCAGCAGCCGCCGUAA
rnacentral:rRNA from 1 species